UGGGGAAUAUUGCACAAUGGGCGAAAGCCUGAUGCAGCGACGCCGCGUGGGGGAUGACGGCCUUCGGGUUGUAAACCCCUUUCAGUAGGGAAGAAGCGAGAGUGACGGUACCUGCAGAAGAAGCGCCGGCUAACUACGUGCCAGCAGCCGCGGUAAUACGUAGGGCGCAAGCGUUGUCCGGAAUUAUUGGGCGUAAAGAGCUUGUAGGUGGCUUGUCGCGUCUGCCGUGAAAACCCGAGGCUCAACCUCGGGCGUGCGGUGGGUACGGGCAGGCUAGAGUGUGGUAGGGGAGACUGGAACUCCUGGUGUAGCGGUGAAAUGCGCAGAUAUCAGGAAGAACACCGAUGGCGAAGGCAGGUCUCUGGGCCAUUACUGACACUGAGAAGCGAAAAGCAUGGGUAGCGAACAGGAUUAGAUACCCUGGUAGUCCAUGCCGUAAACGUUGGGCACUAGGUGUGGGGGACAUUCCACGUUUUCCGCGCCGUAGCUAACGCAUUAAGUGCCCCGCCUGGGGAGUACGGCCGCAAGGCUAAAACUUAAAUGAAUUGACGGGGUCAUAGCUGUUUCCU
rnacentral:rRNA from 1 species